UGGGGAAUCUUGCACAGUGGGGGCAACCCUGAUGCAGCGACGCCGCGUGAGCGAUGAAGCCCUUCGGGGCGUAAAGCUCUUUCGACCGGAACGAUAAUGACGGUACCGGGAGAAGAAGCUGCGGCUAACUACGUGCCAGCAGCCGCGGUAAUACGUAGGCAGCAAGCGUUGUUCGGAGUUACUGGGCGUAAAGAGUGCGUAGGCGGUUUUCUAAGUUCGGUGUGAAAUCUCCCGGCUUAACUGGGAGGGUGCGCCGAAGACUGGGAAGCUGGAGUGUGGGAAAGGCAGGCGGAAUUCCUGGUGUAGCGGUGAAAUGCGUAGAUAUCAGGAGGAACACCGGCGGUGUAGACGGCUUGCUAGACCAUAACUGACGCUGAGGCACGAAAGCGUGGGUAGCAAACA
rnacentral:rRNA from 1 species